ensembl:lncRNA
GGGGAGAAAGGCCCUGUUUUGAACAUUCAGGUCUAAGACAAAUCUACUAGUCCAGAAGUCAGAUGAGUCCCUUCCAUAGCUGACUACAGGCAGGGAAAACGAACUGCUGUCAAGUCUGCGGCUCUCAGCAACACCUGCUGCUCACUCACUUUGCACACACUGAGUACUGCAGUGAGAACCCAGCCAAAAGCACGGGAACUGCACGUUAGGGACGGCAGUUAGUGACAGUUAGUGCCCAGGCAGCUGAGAGUUGUGAACUGUUAAUGACAGGCAAAAAUCACAAGGACCAAACGUGACUACAAGAAAAGAGUAAGAUUUCCGAGAAUGAUUCAACCAAGCCGGCAGGGCCGUACGUGGACUAUUACUGAACAAAACACUAAGCAGCUCAUGAAGAGAGCACAGGCUCUGUAAAGGACACGGGAACCACACCAGAGCAGAGGCCCCAGGGAUCACUCACCACAAGGCUGGGGCCAGCACCCCGCGGAAACCAAAUUCUCUGCUGCCCUCGGUGCCAUACUCAGAUUCUCCUACCUCUAAGCUGGAUUUCUCACACCUCUGCUUUUAAAGAUCCCAAUUCUUCCUGACAUUUCUGCAGAGGAGAAAUUUUUUGAAGCAUCUGUUCCACUUGGUGAUGCAGAGUACUGUUCUCUCUAAAAAUGGACAAAAGUAUCCACAGUAAAUUACUACACAUAUAGUCUCACGAUCUGAGAUUUCUAACUUGGAACAAAAAAUCUAUAAAAUCUCUUUUCAAACACAUUCCUUCUACUUAUUACUAACACAACAUUGGUACAGCUUUUAAUUUCUUGGAAACAGACUGCUUUUGACAAAAAUAUUAUCAAAAAGCAACUUGAGAAACAGUGUGCCUGACUUCCGGUCCACUGGAGAAGAUUUCCAAGAACUGUGUGCCAAGCCCGCUGGCGCAUCCAACCUUGGGCCUAUUUAUUCAAACUAAGUGGCACGGAGUUUUGGGAUUUGGUUUAUAAUCACACUUUCCCUUCUUGUAAGUGAUGAAUGCAAUGAGAACAUGAAACAUGCUAAAUUUUAAGUAGGUCCAUUUUAAAUUGUUUAAAAUGACACAGGAUAAACAACCACAAGAAGUCAGAUUCAUGUAGAUAACAGUAAUGUGAGAGCAAUAAACUUCAUCUCAAGGGCAAUGUAGUCACUAAAAGUUACUGAAAAGUGAAACACCAGGCUUAACUUAAAAGCCUCAGUAAUAAAUUCAUUUCACUGAUUCGAUACUUGGGAAAAUGCUAAUCUUCUUUUACUUGAGCAUCAAAGCAACAUUCUCUUAUAAGAGUCAGUCUAGGUCCUCUUUGUUAGAAUCUGUUAGAAAAUCUGUGUAAUGGCAUCCAUUCCAAAUCAAGUACUGCGACAAAUCAUCUCGGCAACUGUUAAAACACACGUACGCUGGCUCACCUUCUUGCAAACUGCAGCUGUGAAACUUAUUAAGGAAAACACUGAAAAUUCAAGCUUGUGAUACUUGUCUGGAGAUAAAAUCCACUUUAUAAUUAUCUUUAAGAUUCUAUGUUCAAUGUACACACAGGCAAGAUCAUAAACCCUAAAAAACAAUAUUCAUG